UACGUAGGGUGCGAGCGUUAAUCGGAAUUACUGGGCGUAAAGCGUGCGCAGGCGGCGCGUUAAGACAGGUGUGAAAGCCCCGAGCUUAACUUGGGAAUUGCGCUUGUGACUGGCGUGCUGGAGUGUGGCAGAGGGGAGUGGAAUUCCACGUGUAGCAGUGAAAUGCGUAGAGAUGUGGAGGAACACCGAUGGCGAAGGCAGCUCCCUGGGCCAGCACUGACGCUCAUGCACGAAAGCGUGGGGAGCAAACAGG
rnacentral:rRNA from 1 species